rnacentral:rRNA from 1 species
UACGUAGGGGGCAAGCGUUGUCCGGAAUCAUUGGGCGUAAAGCGCGUGUAGGCGGCCAGGUAAGUCCGUUCUGAAAGCCCGGGGCUCAACCCCGGGAGGCGGAUGGAUACUGCUUGGCUCGAGUCCGGAAGAGGCGAGUGGAAUUCCUGGUGUAGCGGUGAAAUGCGCAGAUAUCAGGAGGAACACCUAUUGCGAAGGCAGCUCGCUGGGACGUUACUGACGCUGAGACGCGAAAGCGUGGGGAGCAAACAGG